CUUGUCUUAAUAAACCAAUUCUACUUAAGACUACUUUAUAUCUAGGCCAUAUAAAGCACUUUUUGAGGCACAAGUUAAAUCUUCCAUUUGAUUUUACUUUGUACUGUGGUCCAUUAAAUUGGAAUGUUGAUUACCACACUAUAUUAAAAUUAAGGCCAACCAUGACAUGAAAAAUAGCUUUUAUGCUAGAUCUAUUUUUAUUUUGUUAAGGAGAAAGGGACGCCUUGAUUGUCGUAUUGAUUUUGUUUUCUUUUUGUUCCAACAGAUGGAAACUGAUGAAGAGCUGGAAGGAGUUAACUGAUGAGUAGACAUUACAACAUUUCUUAUAUUUUCAAGAUGAAGCUGAAAGUCCCAUGCAGGAUGAUGCUUCUCUACAGUGGAUGAUGAAAGCAUGCUGAUUACAAACCCAGGAGAGGAAUAAAGAACAGAUAUUGACAGAAUCAUAUCUAUAUAUGGGCCUACUGCACUUCAUACAAGCAAGUGUGCUAAUAUACCAUACUUGGGUUAUCAUCACAGCCCUUUUUUCUGAAAACUAGCCUACAACUUCAUCGAUGAAUGCAGAAGACAUCUACAUGGGACUACGUCUUAAAGAUGCCCCCUCAUAUAAUGAAAGAGGACAGUAGAGAUGGGUUUAAACUUGAAUAUUUACAUACUAUUUAUUUAUUAUUUGUAUU